GUGGCUCCAGUAGGUGGCUAAAAAGACAGACAGAUGUUUAAGUAAUCUUGAGCACAUUAUUUUUAUGAAAGCCAGAAAUGAAGGUUAUGAGUUUGGGCAUCUCAAAGUUGGUAAUUUCCAAUCAGCAGCUUAAGGACUUAUGAAGAGAGUGUAAGCAGUCAGCAAGGAACCAGGGAAAAUAAUAGUAGGGACACCAGACGUGCAUGCAAUAUUCCAGUAUCAAUUUCAUCAAUGCUACGUACACAGAAGGAUCUCAACAGGCUGAAGAGAUAAGCAGAGAGGAACCUCUUGAAAUUCAACAAAAACAAGUAGAGGGCAGAGAUCCCAUGCACAGGUACUGUUUAGGGGCUGAUUUUCUGAAAAGUAGCUCUAUGGAG
ensembl:lncRNA